CCACGUCCGCGGACCGGUUCUCACUCGCGGAUCCUCCUAAAUCAAGGAAACGACAUAAUUAUUUUCCGUAAAUCGAAAUUAUGACUAAAUUUAUGCAAUAAACUCGAAACGAACAUCUAUUCCUAAUUUACAACUCCCGUGUCCAUAAAAUUACCAAAAUGCCCUUGUCGGUCAACGGUCACCGGAAUUUGGUCAACACUGGCUAGGAAGCUCAAAUCUUAAAGUUCCAAUCACGCUGAGUUCAAUGGUACUGGCGGUGAGCUCCAACGCGCGGCAACGACGCCGGAAUCUAGCUCAGCAGCCGUGAAUUCCAAUAAUCGACCAGCGGCAAAACAGUGACUCUCGGUGCCUAUGGAUGGUCGAAAAUGGAAGAGGGAGUCAUGAGGAACAAAAUCCAACCGAUGGUGUCACCCAAAACCGGCGAAAAUCCUGGCGAAGCAAAGUGAAACAGUCGCGGGUUCAAGCUUCGAUCGCCGGCGUUCCGGUUGGUUUUCGGCGGCGAGGAUGGCAGGGGAACGACGGUCGGCUUCUAAGCUUC
rnacentral:lncRNA from 1 species